AUGACUCCGGCAACAUACGCCGAGCUCCUUCUCCGCCGGCGACACACGCCUGGCGUCCCUCUGCGCCCCGCACGUCCCGCGCGCACCCAACGCGCCCGACGAGCCCGAUCGCACCAGUGCGUCCCGCACGUCCCGCGCGCAUCCGUCGCGCCCGACGAGCCCGACAGCACCAGACGCUCACCGCGUGCCGCCUCCGCGUCCGCCAUGGCAGCCGCCACGCCGCGCCUACGUGUCACGCACCUUCCACGGUUGUCGCCCCGAGCCGUCGCGAUCUUUGCGCCACCACGCAGGUCCUUCGCGACCUCCUCGUCUCCGCGACCGCCGUGCCUUUCGCGCGCACUCCCCAUGUCCCCGCGCUCCCGGCCCGCGGUCCCGCCGCGCACAUACGCGAUCUGCGCAACCGGGUCCAGCGCCCCGACGUGGUCCGCACCCGCGAUCCCGACGUGCCCGCUACGUCUGGCGCGCGCCCAUACACGCGUCCGAGGCGGUGAGCCCGUCGCCGCGGCUUAUUCUGCCACGCUCCGCCCGCCACCAGCCCGCGCCAUGAUCGCGCUCCGACGCGAGCAACGCGGCCGAUCCGGCGUGUCCCGGAGCUUGGCCCUCCCUCCGCCGAGCCGCGCCGCGCCACCGCAGCCUCUGCGCCACCGCGCAGGUCCGCCGCGCUCCCCGCACGCACGGCGUCACCGUGCUCCGCCGCCGCACGGGACGAGCGCCAUCACCGGCGAGCUCCUCCGAACCCGAUGCUCUGAUACCAAUUGUUGUUGCCGACUAGCCCUAGCUCUCGCCUACCUCUCACAGCUCUCUUGUUCUGCUGCAGACCGAGGUAGAAGAAGAAGGAAAGAAGAAGACACAGGUGGACACAGGAGGUUUCCGGCGCUCAAACGCCAACACCCACGAGCACGAACUCGUUCCCAGAGCACCACGGCUCUCGUACUACAUCGCCUGGCCUUUAUACUCAGGUAA
rnacentral:rRNA from 1 species